GUAGGUGGCAAGCGUUGUCCGGAAUUAUUGGGCGUAAAGCGCGCGCAGGCGGUUCUUUAAGUCUGAUGUCGAAAGCCCACGGCUCAACCGUGGAGGGUCAUUGGAAACUGGAGAACUUGAGUACAGAAGAGGAAACGCGGAAUUCCACGUGUAGCGGUGAAAUGCGUAGAGAUGUGGAGGAACACCAGUGGCGAAGGCGGCUUUCUGGUCUGUAACUGACGCUGAGGCGCGAAAGCGUGGGGAGCAAACAGGAUUAGAUACCCUGGUAGUCCACGCCGUAAACGAUGAGUGCUAAGUGUUAGGGGGUUUCCGCCCCCCUUAGUGCUGCAGCUAACGCAUUAAGCACUCCGCCUGGGAGUACGGCCGCAAGGCUG
rnacentral:rRNA from 1 species